UAUCCUUUUUGCCAACUACUUUGUCAAUUGUCACAUUGCACUUGAACCUUAUCACUCGAAUAGGUCAAUGAUUUUCACUUUUUGAUUUUUUUAUUUAUUUUAUGAGACGUGAUUUCAUCUUCAAAAUCAAAAUCGAAAUCGAAUAUUUUCUCAAUGGCAAUAUUUUCUCUUAUAACUCCUCUUACUUUGUGGAAUAACAAUUUUUUCUUGAUAAUACCUCCUUUUGCAUGUUUAUUAGCG
rnacentral:lncRNA from 1 species